rnacentral:lncRNA from 10 species
AGAAGAAAUGAAGAGUUGCCAGAAGUGGUUAAUCACUUGCCAGAAGUGCUAACAGCUGAACCAACAAAACCCAAGCCCUAAUUUUAAAAAAGAUAGUUGGCCAGGCUCAAUGGCUCACACCUGUAAUCCCAACACUUUGGGAGGCUGAGAUGGGAGGACCGCUUGAGCCCAGGAGUUGGAGACCAGCUUGGGCAACAUAGUAAGAUUCUGCCUCUACAAAAAAUAAAAAAUAAAUAAAUAAAUUAGCCAGGCAUGGUGGUGUUUGCCUGUGAUUGCAGCUACUCAGGAGGUUGAGGUGGGAGGAUCGCUUGAGCCUGGGAAGUUAAGGCUGCAGUGAACUAUGAUCAUGCCACUUGCACUUCAGCCUGAGUGGCAAGGCAAGACCCAGUCUCAAAAAAAAAAAAAAAAAAAAAAUUGAAGCUUAAUAAACAGAAACACAAUACAGCUAAAGAGUAAUCAACUUGCUCCAAACUUAAUACAGCUCCCAGUUCUCAAAUGAAUCCAAACUCCUAAUACAUAUCAAACCACCAUCAAGUAUGCGUUUUUUUCCCAUUCUAAACUUUUAUUCUCAUUACUCAUUGACUCAUAUACUCUACUCCAGUACAUAAUGUCCAAGGAUAUGAAUCUAGAGUUUACUGUACAUGUAUAUGUGUAAGCUGCAUUCUUAUCCCUUCCCUGACCACUUUGUUGACAUCAUUUGUUGCAGGAUGAAUAGCAGUUUGCUAUGUCGACCAGGAGAGAGAGGAGAGGAGCAGAAUAUAUUCUAGGCAUAUUUUUCCCACUAUAGAUAGAAUGCCCUUCUUUUCAUUCUGUGCCUUCAGUCUCGUCUCUUCCCUAAAGCACUGAUUAAAAUUUAACUUCAUGAAGCCUUCUGAAACUGAUUCCAACCAAAUGCAGAAAUUUCAACAAACUCCAAUAUAUUCAUUUUAGAGUUAACAGUUUUCUUAUACAUUUUAGCUUGUUUAGAAGCCUUCCCAUUUUGUAUGUCUCAAUAUUGUGAGCAAGUUUGUAUGCUGAUAAAAUUCACAUUAUUAUUAAAAACAACAUCAGGCUGCAUAAAUGUCGAAUCCCUGCCAGCAAUCACUGUC